CUUUGCUUGGAACAUACCAGCAGGGUUACUGUACCUCUCUGAAGAUCACCAGACAGGAAUUCUGUACCUCUCUGUGCAUAAGAUAAGGUCCAGACAAUGGCUCGAAUGGAAACGAGUGAUUGGAAAACAAAGUCCUUGUGCCUCCUGUCCUUUCUCUACAUUGCUUCCGCUGAGAUGACUCUGAUGGAACUGGAGCUGAAUAAUUCAGUGAUCGCACGAUACAACGAGAGCGUCCUUCUGCACUGCAAAGCCGUGUCCAAAGGAAACAUGACCCUGCUAUUGUUUGAGUGGUUACGCCCUCCGAACACAAUCCUGUACAAGUUCAGAAAAGGGCAUGAAACCCAGCACUCCCCACGAAUAUCCUGGGUCAAACAAGGGUUUGAGGUCUCUCUUACGAUUAACCAACUGAAACCCUCAGACGAAGGGAACUACACAUGCAAAGUGAGGACAGGGCAUGGAAUGAAAUUUAAAAAUGUCACGGUGGAGCUGGAGGCCCCCUACAGUGAUUCCUCACCCGAUUGCAUGAUCCAGGUGAAAGAGCUCACGUGUGUUUUCUCUGGAGGGUAUCCAAAGGGUGAGAUCCACUGGUUUGACGAGGAGGGCAACAAUGUAACGGACCGUGCUUCCAACAACUGCAGCGAGACAGGAGAGGGUCUAUUUAACAUCAGCAGCUCCUACCACAUAGGAAACCAUUCAUCCCAUUCCUACAACUGCUCCCUGUGGAUUCCAAGGUCUGCAGGUUACUCAGCAACCAAGCAAAUCUCUUCAGGAUGGAAUUCCUGCGCUCAGGCAAGUCUCUACGGAGCGAGCUCCAAGAAGGGGUUAACGGCGGCCCUGCUUGUAUGGGGAGGCUUGCUUUGUGGGAUUCUCAUCUUCACAGCCUUCACAAAUAAACACAAAGUGAGGGACUGGUUUUUAGGGCCUGUGUGUGGCAAAACACAUCUCAGAAUUUGACUUUGUACGCUUUCAUGCACUGUAAAUAACUUUUGAUAUAUAUUUUCUUGAAAUAAAUUGUGGUAUGUAUAUUUGUGAUCUUGAUAUUCUGCAUUUCUCAAUAAAAGUGUUUUCAAAUUGAAUAUUACUAGGGCUGAGUUUAUUAACACAAACAGCAUGGCAGUAAUUAUAUUAGAAAUGAUAAGUUCUAUAGAUUGACUGUACUUUAUGAAUGCAAUCCUUUGUGUUUCCAAUCUAUAGAGAGAUGUCUUACCCAGUUGUUAUUCGUGUAAAAGUGUGAUUUUGUAAACCCACACAUAUACAGGGUACUGGAUUUAUAUACAAUUGUGACAGAAAUACAAUGAUUCUUGGUUGUAAAUCUCCCUCCUGACCUGUGAGGGCACUAAGCAGCAAGAACAAAGUUCCCUGGGCGGGCUGGUCUGACAGUUCUUUCCCAGGUUUCAAGGGAAGUCUGUAACACUAUAGAAGUUAGAUCAAUCUGUAACACUUUUGUUUAAAGAAGUUAUGAAUAUUUAAUAUUAAAAAAUAAAUAAUGACUCCCAAUCUCUUGCAUCUGAAAGAAGCAAAACAUCAAUACACAAGUGAGAUGAAAACAACACACUGAGUUCCUUGUGUACUCUCUGUGUCUGUGAUCUCUGUGCAGCUCUACAAGGAUCUCUCAGCCCUGCUCAGACAAUUCCAUGCUGCUCUUUGCCAUCUCCAGAGCAGUGGCCCUGUUCCUCAUUCUCAUCACCCUCAUGCUUUGGUAAAGUUCGCUCAGCGGUGCUGUCGCCCCCAGCCUCCAGCCCCGGUCCCAAUAUAUGAGGUAAUGAGGGAGGCUGUAUGGUCCAGUGGUUAAAGAAAAGGGCUUGUAACCAGGAGGUCCCCGGUUCAAAUCCCACCUCAGCCACUGACUCAUUGUGUGACCCUAAGCAAGUCACUUAACCUCCUUGUGCUCCGUCUUUCGGGUGAGAAGUAGUUGUAAGUGACUCUGCAGCUGAUGUAUAGUUCACACACCCUAGUCUCUGUGUGUUGCCUUGGAAAAAGGCGUCUGCUAAAUAAACAAAUAAUAAUGACAGGGCUACCCUGAGGGGGCGCUGUGGACCACUUCAAGGGACUGGAGAACACCCACUAUGCCAGCCCAGUGACGAUACACACUGACUUCAAACUCUAUUCCAAAGUGGACCCCCGCUGAUGAUUGGGUCAGUUCUUUCUGAAACACGCCAAUGCUUAUUAAGGCUGCUGGACUUAUUCUCCCUAUUCCUUGUGUAUGGUAUAAUGGAUAACUCAAUGAACAAAACUGAUUACA